AGCCAGCUGGGCCUCAUUCUUGUUCCUUGAGGCCAUCCUUCCUGUGGAAAUGAUGAUCUUGCUACCAGGCUGCAGAGGUGAUCUAAUGAUGAAAAGGAGUGAGAAGAUAUUUCUCCUUGGAGACCCUCAGAUUUCUCUGAUAACUUCCACAGAAAACAACAUACUGCACCCACCAUGUAUUUCUGGAGUUCAAAUGUCAUCGCUGUUAUGAAGCAUCUAUAAACUUGAAGAACAUUCUGGGUAUUGACAUGCAAAUGAAGAAAUCAAGCCUGCCACUUUGCUAUGGUAAUUCCUAUGGUACUGCUUCCCUAAAGCGCAUCUAUGAGCGAGUCAAGUGUCCACAACUAAGAUUUGAUUGCUAAGACUCCUGGAAUAUAAAGCACUAUGUAAAUGUGAAGUAGUAAAAAAUAAAGAACCUGCUGUUUGUCUUGC